GCAAGAAACUAUAUACAAAACAAAAGUAAAUGUUCUUUAAUUAACUCUGUUAUUGCGAUUGCUGUAAUGAAUCGUGUGGAUUCAUUUAUAUUCGUUGGAUACCAAUUUUCGUCGAUUUCGAGGGAACAGGGGAACCACGGAUAUAAAUGUUCAACGAAAUACAAUUUUUUUAAAUGAAUGUGUGCAAACUUUCUCCAAAACCACAAACUUAGAUAUCCACGAAAAUGCAAGUGUUUCUCAAUGCACGAAAAUUGGUACCCACGAAAAAAAAACGAAUCCAAUGUAAAUUAUCUUUUCUAUAAAAGCUUUUUUUAUUCUGUUCUCAGUUGUACUUAAAUUGCCAUCUUUCGAUGUUGUUUUGAUCAUUUGUUUUCUUCUUCUGUCUCCUUUUUCAUGCUUGUAUUUUUUGUUUAGCACAUUUCUGUCAGGCGUUUGAUAUGAUAUCAUACAUUUAAUAAGCUUUGGAACUGACCCGGCUUAGUAUGACACUGUUUUUCUUUCAAAUGCAUCUCCUUCGUAAACAUUUUGUUUUCGACCAACACUGUACAUUACACCAAAAGGAAGCUUCGGUCAAUUUGGACCGAAACGAUCCGAUGACAUUUUAUAGUAGUUAUCUACCCUUCGCUGUAUAUGUAACGCAUACGUCAUGUGUUUUCACGUGUAUAGGAAUAUUUUGUUCUAAUAUUUAAAAUAAAUGUUGACAGAAAGAGGUAUUUAUCAAGCA
rnacentral:lncRNA from 1 species